rnacentral:tRNA from 2 species
GGAGAGGUGCGAGAGCGGCCGAAUCGGCGUGAUUGGAAAUCACGUGUACCGGCGACGGUACCGUGGGUUCGAACCCCACCCUCUCCGCCA